rnacentral:rRNA from 1 species
AGAGUUUGAUUAUGGCUCAGGAUGAACGCUAGCUACAGGCUUAACACAUGCAAGUCGUGGGGCAUCGGGGGCGUAGCAAUACGCCCGCCGGCGACCGGCGCACGGGUGAGUAACGCGUAUCCAACCUGCCCCACAGUAGGGGAUAGCCCGGCGAAAGUCGGAUUAAUACCCUAUGUUUUCCCUUGAGAGCAUUUGACGGGGAACAAAGGUUUACCGCUAUGGGAUGGGGAUGCGUCCGAUUAGGCAGACGGCGGGGUAACGGCCCACCGUGCCUUCGAUCGGUAGGGGUUCUGAGAGGAAGGUCCCCCACAUUGGAACUGAGACACGGUCCAAACUCCUACGGGAGGCAGCAGUGAGGAAUAUUGGUCAAUGGGCGCGAGCCUGAACCAGCCCAAGUAGCGUGCAGGAUGGCGGCCCUAUGGGUUGUAAACUGCUUUUGCCGGGGAAUAAAGUGCGGGACGUGUCCCGUUUUGUAUGUACCCGGAGAAUAAGGACCGGCUAAUUCCGUGCCAGCCGCCGC